GACGAACCCGUGCAAACGUUAUUCGGAAUCACUGGGCUUAAAGGGCGCGUAGGCGGGUGAUCAAGUCAAUGGUGAAAUCCUCCAGCUUAACUGGAGAAGUGCCUUUGAUACUGAUUGUCUAGAGGGAGGUAGGGGCAUGUGGAACUUCAGGUGGAGCGGUGAAAUGCGUAGAUAUCUGAAGGAACGCCAGUGGCGAAAGCGAUGUGCUGGACCUCUUCUGACGCUGAGGCGCGAAAGCUAGGGGAUCAAAC
rnacentral:rRNA from 1 species